AGCAGGCUCCCUGCGGGGAGCCCGAUGUGGGACUCAAUCCCAGGACCUUGGGAUCAUGCUCAACCACAGAGCCACCCAGGAGUCCCUCAGUUUCACCUUUCAGAGCUUCCAUUUCCUUAUCUAAAGAAAGGGAAGAACUGCUACUCAUGUAUAGGUCUUUGAAGGAGAAAAAGAAGUAAAAGAGAGAGGAAGAAUCUGAGACGUAGGGCUGGGGAGAGGUCAACGCAGACUACCCGGGGAGAGGCUCUGAUGCCAGAUUCAGAAGCUAAGCCUACUUCUGAAGAAUGGACACAAAAAUAACGUCUUCAAGUCUUCAGCACACAUCUGUGUAUUUGAAUUAAUGUGUUGUGUUCCUUAAACCUUUGGAGCAAUGGAAACCCUGAAAUUAAAAUAGUGAAAUAUGAGUCCUAUCUGGCCUCAGCCAUCCUCCUGAUUUAUUGGGGGUGCUUACACCUUAGUCUAUGCCUUAUGGUUCCCCAUCUGAAAAAAGAGGUGCUGGAUUUCAAGGUAGGUAAUGAUCUGACAUAAAUUCUCAAGCGCAAUAAUGUUCUUUCUCUGUUGGGGCAAAAAUAGGAUAUAUAAAUGGGAAGCAGGACUGAAAAUGUGACCCUAAUUUCUCAAAGAAUUCCACAGAACCUUUCAAGCAAUGUCGUGAUCCUAUCCACUGAAGAAAGCAGGUUUAGGGGAAAUACAAAUUAUCCUUGACAUUCAGAUUAGCUGCUCAUGGUUUUGAAUAUUCAAGUGUGUCACUCUUUCCAUCUACGCAAUAUGCUUGGUGAUCCCCCGAUGUUUCUAACAUUCCAACAUUCAGUUUGGAAGAGGAGGUUGCAUUACAAAAUUUGUCUCAUGGGGUAGGUAUGCAAAAUCUAGCUGUUGGUAAUUCACUGCCCCUCCCUGUUGAUUCCCUGUAUUCUUCUCCUUCUCCGGGAUGGAUUCAGAGCUUCAUGAUCCGUGUGCCAUACCGGAAUGAAAGGCACAGGGUAGGGAACACAGUCGAAUGGGAUUAUCGUAGUGUCCUAUGGUGACAGAUGACAGCUACACUUGGGGUGAGCGGGGUGUAAUGUAUAAACUUGUCAGAUCACUAUGUUGUAGACUGGAAACUAAUGCCAACACUGUGUGUCAACGACAUUCGAAAAGUUUUUGGAAAAAAUUUGUGUGCCGCAGAGGUGGUUAAAAAUUUCAUAGCAGCCACAUUAAAAACAGCAGAAAGAAA